rnacentral:misc_RNA from 1 species
UCUGAAAUAAAAUAACCAAUACAUAGAUGAAGAUUGGAAUGCUUGAUAAUUUAAGAACUUUUGCUGCAUGGCCUAUUCAUAAUCAAGCAAAACCGAUAGAACUGAGCAAUGCAGGAUUUAAAUAUACUGGUAGUAACGAUACCGUUAAGUGUCAAGCUUGUGGACUUAUUUUAUCAAACUGGUUAGCUGCUUAUAACCCAAAAGAUCGACACAAGGCUGAAUCACCAGAUUGUCCUAUCGUGCUAGCCUUUGAAAAUGCAGUUUCUAGUGACAAAAUCAGAUAAAAGACUUGAACAGGAGACAGGGGUGUUGGAUAUGACCCACUUUCAAGCUAGAUUAGAGACAUAUACAAACUGGGUAUUAACAUUCGUUGACAAGGUGAAACUAGCCGAAGCAGGACUCUUUUAUACUGGUGUUGGUGAUAGAGUACAGUGUGCUUUCUGUCAUGGUGUACUAAGAAGUUGGAGAGAAGGUGAUGAACCAAUGCUCGAGCAUAAAAGACAUUAUCCAAAUUGUGGAUUCAUUAUUGGUAGUUUAAAAGACAGUGUUAAGAAAGGAAAUAAUAUGGAAAGAAGAAAAAUUGACAAAAAGAAGUAUGAGUCCAGAAACGACAGAGUAAGAAGUUUUCAUCAAAUAUCAACAAAAGUUAAUAUAGUUAAAUUAAGUACUAACGGAUUCUUUUUUAAUGGUUUGACUAACGAGAUAGAAUGCCAUUCUUGUGGAAGUUCAUUUUCACUUGAACUUGACAUUGAUAAUUUGCAUUCACUUCACGACUCUUCGUGUUCAUAUGCUAUAGAGCCAAAAGAAACUCGUCAACCGCCAAAAGACACUACUGAUGGAUGUGUUAAACAAGGAGUUUUACAAAGUGGACAAAUUAAGACUAGCAUCGAGUCUGACGUAAGAAUGUAUAUGGGGUCGGAUAUAGUACAGAAUGUCCUUAAAAUGGGAUAUACUAGAGAAAUGAUUGAAACUUUCAUAUGGAAAAAAGGAACAAUAUUUACUGACGCGAAUAGUUUAAUAAAUAAUUUCCUCGAUACAAUGCAAGAGGAGACUCUGAUGACGGAAUCUUCAAUACUUGAUGGUUUAAGUAAGGAAAAUGGACAAUCAAGUCCUACAACAAGUAAGGCAAAAAGAAAACGAAAAAAAAAGAAACCUAAAAAAUCUGAUGAAGACCUAACCGAAAAACCUACGGCGAAAGACGAAAUAAAAGAACAAUCAGAUAAUAAUAGCGAUUCAAUAUCAAAGGAUAUUGAACAGCUAAAAGAAAGAAAAGAGAGAUUGGAAGAGGAAAGAAAAUGUGCAAUAUGCUUUGAUAGGGAUAGAAAUACAAUAUUCACCCCUUGUUUUCAUUUUACAACUUGCUUUCAAUGCGCUAAACGAUUAAAUCUGUGUCCUAUGUGCAAUAAACCUAUUAAAAGUAGAUGUCGAGUGGCUCUAUAGCAAAAAUAGAAAUAGAAAAUUACAUCAGUACAAAAGAAAAUAAAAGAAAAGUUAUCUGAAUAUUCAAGGAGAUGAGAUAAAUACUUCUGUGUACAUUGUAAAAAUGUUAACUAAUGUUAUUGAUUCGUAUCUGUGACUUAUUACUUAACUACCGGGAAGUAAAACAAUUUUUACAUGUAUCUUCUACUAUACUGUACGUCAAAUCCAUUUUUAAACUCUUCUUUUGCUCUUUUGGUUUAUGAACUUUACGUGAACUUUAUCAACAAAGAGUGGAUGUUUUUCACUAACUGUGACGUUAAGUUUCGAAUAUACAAUUCAUAUGGUAGCAAUACAAGAUUUAUUGAUAUUUUUACGUUAUAAAAAAAUACUAUUAAUAAAAAUUACGUAUUAAAUUACAGAUAAACAGAAUCCCUCUCGUACUUCCUUUUCCAAAAGCUAUAAGAUUCGCUUAUAGUUUAGUUCAAGAAAAUACCACCUGGUUUAAAUAUCAAUUGUGAACUACCUUCUGGAAUUAAUCUAUAUAGAAUAUCAAGUUAAAUUAAAGAAUUUGAUAGAUGCUGUAGAGAAGUACAACGAAUGGAGAGAAUAUUCUUCUUAAGAUGUUUUAUUGAUGGAAUAUUUAGCUUAAUUAGGGAAUAUUUUUUUUU